rnacentral:rRNA from 1 species
AACAAGGAUUCCCUAGUAACUGCGAGUGAAGCGGGAAAAGCUCAAAUUUAAAAUCUGGCGUCCUUUGGGCGUCCGAGUUGUAAUCUGGAGAAGCGUUUUCCGCGUUGGACCGUGUACAAGUCUCCUGGAACGGAGCGUCAUAGAGGGUGAGAAUCCCGUCCAUGACACGGACUACCAAUGCUUUGUGAUACGCUCUCGAAGAGUCGAGUUGUUUGGGAAUGCAGCUCAAAAUGGGUGGUAAAUUCCAUCUAAAGCUAAAUAUUGGCGAGAGACCGAUAGCGAACAAGUACCGUGAGGGAAAGAUGAAAAGCACUUUGGAAAGAGAGUUAAACAGUACGUGAAAUUGUUGAAAGGGAAACGCUUGAAGUCAGUCGCGUCUUGCGGAACUCAGCCUUACUUCGGUUUGGUGUACUUUCUGUUUGACGGGUCAACAUCAAUUUUGAUCGGUAGAAAAAGCUUGAGGAAAGGUAGCGUUGUUUCGGCGACGUGUUAUAGUCUUCUUGCGUAUAUAUCGGUUGGGAUUGAGGACCGCAGCACGCCUUUAAUGGCCGGGGGUUCGCCCUACGUAUCGUGCUUAGGAUGUUGGCAUAAUGGCUUUAAGCGACCCGUCUUGAAACACGGACCAAGGAGUCUAACAUGCUUGCGAGUGUUCGGGUGGAAAACCCUUGCGCGUAAUGAAAGUGAAAGUUGGGAACCUCCGCAAGGGGGUGCACCGACGCCCGGCCCUGAAGUUCUCUGACGGUGCUGCGGUAGAGCACGUAUGUUGGGACCCGAAAGAUGGUGAACUAUGCCUGAAUAGGGCGAAGCCAGAGGAAACUCUGGUGGAGGCUCGUAGCGAUUCUGACGUGCAAAUCGAUCGUCAAAUUUGGG